GACGAACGCUGGCGGCGUGCCUAAUACAUGCAAGUCGAGCGAAUCAGUAGGAGCUUGCUCCUAUUGGUUAGCGGCGGACGGGUGAGUAACACGUGGGCAACCUGCCUGUAAGACUGGGAUAACACCGGGAAACCGGUGCUAAUACCGGAUAAUCCUUUUCCUCUCACGAGGGAAAGCUGAAAGUCGGUUUCGGCUGACACUUACAGAUGGGCCCGCGGCGCAUUAGCUAGUUGGUGAGGUAACGGCUCACCAAGGCGACGAUGCGUAGCCGACCUGAGAGGGUGAUCGGCCACACUGGGACUGAGACACGGCCCAGACUCCUACGGGAGGCAGCAGUAGGGAAUCUUCCACAAUGGACGAAAGUCUGAUGGAGCAACGCCGCGUGAGCGAUGAAGGCCUUCGGGUCGUAAAGCUCUGUUGUUAGGGAAGAACAAGUACCGGAGUAACUGCCGGUACCUUGACGGUACCUAACCAGAAAGCCACGGCUAACUACGUGCCAGCCGCCGCAGUAAGAC
rnacentral:rRNA from 1 species